GUGCUGGUUGCAUUACCUGAGAUUAGAAUCUUCCUGGUUGGUGUUUGCGAGAUGUUGAGCUCUGGGAAAAUAAAUCAAACUCAGGGGAGAAAGAAUUGGAUAUGCUAUCGGUAGUGACAGUUCCCACUCAAGACCUACCAACCAAUCCUCAGAUACUUGACUAAGUAGAUGAUCUUACACAACUAAGUUAUUUGAACGAGCCUUCAGUUCUUCACAAUCUUCAGACUAGAUAUUUACAAGAUAAUUUAUAUAGAAUGGCAGGCCCUGUACUUUUGUCAAUCAAUACAUUUAAUAAUGUCUAGCUAUAUGGGGAUGAUAAAGAAAGAAACUUUUGGACACUCCUCAUGCUUAUGCUGUUGCUGAUGCAGCAUGCAAUGCAAUGAUAGCAGAUGAAGAAGUUGACUAAUAAGAAAGAAGGAGGUGCAAAAAAAAAAGAAAAGAAAAAAAGAAAAGAGAAAAAGAAAAGAGAAAAAAAGAAAAAAUGAAAGAAAGAAGGUGCAAAAAAAAAGAGAAGAAAAAAAAAGAAAGAAGACGAAAGCAAAAACAAAGAAGAUAAAACGCUGUUGGAGGAGAUUAAAUCAGCAACCUCAAGGUCUGUUACAAGGGAGAAAAGGAGUUGAAAUAGGAGAGGAAUGAGGCUGACAUAGGAGGGGGAACAAAAUUAGGAAGUUGCCUGAUUAUACUGAAGGAGAUGCAAAAUAAAAGAAAAAAAGAAAGAAGGUGAAGCAAGCAAAGAAAGAUGAUAAAGAGCUGUUGGUGGAUAUUAAAUCAGCUACUUCAAGAACCCUUACAAGGGAGAAAAUGAGUUUAUGUAGGAGAGGGCUGAGGCUGAGCAGCAUGCAAGGGAAGAAGAGACCCAAUCUAGGACAUGCCCCAGAUCCCAUGACGUGCAGAAGCUUACCAAAACAAGAGAAUAAAAGGCAUGGGAUAUGGCUUAUCAGCUAUUACUUAUGACAACAUCAUGGUCCUGUACAGGAAAGCAGGUCAAUUCGAGAAAAUCCCUGAGACUCUCAUUGUAGAAGAAUGGUGUCGACGAAAAUAGAUGAAAUGAUGAGGUUAUUAUCACUUGAUCUCACUUUAUGCACAUCUAGGGAAAAAAAGAUGAAAUGAUAAGGUUGUGGGCUUUACAGAAGCCAAGGCUGUGCUAGAUGACUAGACUUCUACUUUCCACACAUACGACAACAGAGUGCCGAACAUACUCCUGAUUGGCUACUAUCAGAAGGGUCUCUCCGAUAAAUCUGAUGCAUUGCUUUGGGAUAUUAUAAAUAGGGAAGAAAUACCGACUUCCCUUCAGAAGAUAAUUAAGUUCUGAUUUUCAUCAUGGCCGUCGACUAUCCACGCUUUCUUCUCCUCCUCCGAUGUCCAGUCCUUUCGAUAAGUGCUUAUGGAGCACUCUAAUAGCCGCAUGACACGAUUCUUGAGAACCAGAUGCUAAAAAAGAGUUGUGAAGCAGUUGAUCAUGCUACGAGAUUGAAGGAGGAUUCAAUGCUUUUGCUGAGAGUGUUAUCAUACUGGUCAUUUGGAUACUUUAUGGUUAAUGAACUAGGUGCUGGUUGCAUUACCUGAGAUUAGAAUCUUCCAGGUUGGUGUUUGCGAGAUGAUGAGCUCUGGGAAUCUGGGAAAAUAAAAUCAAACUCAGGGGAGAAAGAAUUGGUUCUGCUAUCGGUAGUGACAGUUCCCACUCUAGACCUACCAACCAAUCCUCAGAUACUUGACUAAGUAGAUGAUCUUACACAACUAAGUUAUUUGAACGAGCCUUCAGUUCUUCACAAUCUUCAGACUAGAUAUUUACAAGAUAAUUUAUAUAGAAUGGCAAGCCCUGUACUUUUGUCAAUCAAUCAAUUUAACAAUGUCUAGCUAUAUGGGGAUGAUAAAGAUAGAAACUUUUUGGACACUCCUCAUGCUUAUGCUGUUGCUGAUGCAGCAUGCAAUGCAAUGAUAGCAGAUGAAGAAGUUGACUAAUAAGAAAGAAGGAGGUGCAAAAAAAAGAAAAGAAAAAAAGAAAAGAGAAAAAGAAAAGAGAAAAAAAGAAAGAAAGAAGGGGCAAAAAAAAAGAGAAGAAAAAAAAAGAAAGAAGACGCAAGCAAAAAAAAAGAAGAUAAAGCGCUGUUGGAGGAGAUUAAAUCAGCAACCUCAAAUCUGUUACAAGGGAGAAAAGGAGUUGAAAUAGGAGGGGAAUGAGGCUGACUUAGGAGGGGGAACAAAAUUAGGAAAUUGCCUGAUUAUACUGAAGGAGAUGCAAAAAAAAAAAGAAAAAAAAAAGAAGGUGAAGCAAGCAAAGAAAGAUGAUAAAGAGCUGUUGGUGGAGAUGAAAUCAGCAACUUCAAGAACCCUUACAAGGGAGAAAAUGAGUUUAUGUAGGAGAGGGCUGAGGCUGAGCAGUAUGCAAGGGAAGAAGAGACAACUGCCCAAUCUAGGACAUGCCCCAGAUCCCAUGACGUGCAGAUGCUUACCAAAACAAGAGAAUAAAAGGCAUGGGAUAUGGCUCAUCAGCUAUUACUUAUGACAACAUCAUGGUCCUGUAUAGGAAAGCAGGUAAAUUCGGGAAAAUCCCUGAGACCCACAUUGUAGAAGAAUGGUGUUGCCGAAAAUAGAUGAAAUGAUGAGAAAUUUCUCCGGUUAAGCUUGGACAGCUCGAAGAAGCCAAGGCUGUGCUAGAUGACUAGACUUCUACUUGCCACACAUACGACGUCAGAGUGCGGAACAUACUCCUGAUUGGCUUCAAUCCGAAGGGUCUCCCCGAUAAAUCCGAUGCACUGCUUUGGGAUUUAAUAAAAAGGGAAGAAAUACCGACCUCCCUUCAAAAGGGCCGUCGAAUAUCCACGCUUUCUUCUACUCCUCCGAUGUCCAGUCCUUUCGAUAAGUGCUUAUGGAGCACUCUAAUAGCCGCAUGACACGAUUCUUGAAAAGCAGAUUCUAAAAAAGAGUUGUGAAGCAGUUGAUCAUGCUACGAGAUUGAAGGAGGAUUCAAUGCUUUUGCUGAGAGUGUUAUCAUACUGGUCAUUUGGAUUCUUUAUGGUUUAUGAACUAGGUGCUGGUUGCAUUACCUGAGAUUAGAAUCUUCCUGGUUGGUGUUUGCGAGAUGAUGAGCUCUGGGAAUCUGGGAAAAUAAAAUCAAACUCAGGGGAGAAAGAAUUGGUUCUGCUAUUGGUAGUGACAGUUCCCACUCAAGACCUACCAACCAAUCCUCAGAUACUUGACUAAGUAGAUGAUCUUACACAACUAAGUUAUUUGAACGAGCCUUCAGUUCUUCACAAUCUUCAGACUAGAUAUUUACAAGAUAAUUUAUAUAGAAUGGCAGGCCCUGUACUUUUGUCAAUCAAUACAUUUAAUAAUGUCUAGCUAUAUGGGGAUGAUAAAGAAAGAAACUUUUGGACACUCCUCAUGCUUAUGCUGUUGCUGAUGCAGCAUGCAAUGCAAUGAUAGCAGAUGAAGAAGUUGACUAAUAAGAAAGAAGGAGGUGCAAAAAAAAGAAAAGAAAAAAAGAAAAGAGAAAAAGAAAAGAGAAAAAAAGAAAAAAUGAAAGAAAGAAAGUGCAAAAAAAGAGAAGAAAAAAAAAAGAAAGAAGACGAAAGCAAAAAAAAAGAAGAUAAAACGCUGUUGGAGGAGAUUAAAUCAGCAACCUCAAGAUCUGUUACAAGGGAGAAAAGGAGUUGAAAUAGGAGAGGAAUGAGGCUGACAUAGGAGGGGGAACAAAAUUAGGAAGUUGCCUGAUUAUACUGAAGGAGAUGCAAAAAAAAAAAGAAAAAAAGAAAGAAGGUGAAGCAAGCAAAGAAAGAUGAUAAAGAGCUGUUGGUGGAGAUGAAAUCAGCAACUUCAAGAACCCUUACAAGGGAGAAAAUGAGUUUAUGUAGGAGAGGGUUGAGGCUGAGCAGCAUGCAAGGGAAGAAGAGACAACUGCCCAAUCUAGGACAUGCCCAGAUCCCAUGACGUGCAGAAGCUUACCAAAACAAGAGAAUAAAAGGCAUGGGAUAUGGCUCAUCAGCUAUUACUUAUGACAACAUCUUGGUCCUGUACAGGAAAGCAGAAAUUUCUCCGGUUAAGCUUGGACAGCUCGAAGAAGCCAAGGCUGUGCUAGAUGACUAGACUUCUACUUGCCACACAUACGACGUCAGAGUGCGGAACAUACUCCUGAUUGGCUACAAUCCGAAAGGUCUCCCCGAUAAAUCCGAUGCACUGCUUUGGGAUUUAAUAAAAAGGGAAGAAAUACCGACCUCCCUUCAGAAGGGCCGUCGAAUAUCCACGCUUUCUUCUCCUCCUCCAUUGUCCAGUCCUUUCGAUAUGUGCUUAUGGAGCACUCUAAUAGCCGCAUGACACGAUUCUUGAGAACCAGAUUCUAAAAAAGAGUUGUGAAGCAGUUGAUCAUGCUAAGAGAUUGAAGGAGGAUUCAAUGCUUUUGCUGAGAGUGUUAUCAUACUGGUCAUUUGGAUUCUUUAUGGUUUAUGAACUAGGUGCUGGUUGCAUUACCUGAGAUUAGAAUCUUCCUUGUUGGUGUUUGCGAGAUGAUGAGCUCUGGGAAUCUGGGAAAAUAAAAUCAAACUCAGGGGAGAAAGAAUUGGUUCUGCUAUCGGUAGUGACAGUUCCCACUCAAGACCUACCAACCAAUCCUCAGAUACUUGACUAAGUAGAUGAUCUUACACAACUAAGUUAUUUGAUCGAGCCUUCAGUUCUUCACAAUCUGCAGACUAGAUAUUUACAAGAUAAUUUAUAUAGAAUGGCAGGCCCUGUACUUUUGUCAAUCAAUCCAUUUAAUAAUGUCUAGCUAUAUGGGGAUGAUAAAGAAAGAAACUUUUGGACACUCCUCAUGCUUAUGCUGUUGCUGAUGCAGUAUGCAAUGCAAUGAUAGCAGAUGAAGAAGUUGACUAAUAAGAAAGAAGGAGGUGCAAAAAAAAGAAAAGAAAAAAAGAAAAGAGAAAAAGAAAAGAGAAAAAAAGAAAAAAAGAAAGAAAGAAGGUGCAAAAAAAGAGAGAAGAAAAAAAGAAAGAAGACGAAAGCAAAAAAAAGAAGAUAAAACGCUGUUGGAGGAGAUUAAAUCAGCAACCUCAAGAUCUGUUACAAGGGAGAAAAGGAGUUGAAAUAAGAGAGGAAUGAGGCUUGCAUAGGAGGGGGAACAAAAUUAGGAAGUUGCCUGAUUAUACUGAAGGAGAUGCAAAAAAAAAGAAAAAAAGAAAGAAGGUGAAGCAAGCAAAGAAAUAUGAUAAAGAGCUGUUGGUGGAAAUGAAAUCAGCAACUUCAAGAACCCUUACAAGGGAGAAAAUGAGUUUAUGUAGGAGAGGGUUGAGGCUGAGCAGCAUGCAAGGGAAGAAGAGACAACUGCCCAAUCUAGGACAUGCCCAGAUCCCAUGACGUGCAGAAGCUUACCAAAACAAGAGAAUAAAAGGCAUGGGUUAUGGCUCAUCAGCUAUUACUUAUGACAACAUCAUGGUCCUGUACAGGAAAGCAGAAAUUUCUCCGGUUAAGCUUGGACAGCUCGAAGAAGCCAAGGCUGUGCUAGAUGACUAGACUUCUACUUGCCACACAUACGACGUCAGAGUGCGGAACAUACUCCUGAUUGGCUACAAUCCGAAGGGUCUCCCCGAUAAAUCCGAUGCACUGCUUUGGGAUUUAAUAAAAAGGGAAGAAAUACCGACCUCCCUUCAGAAUGGCCGUCGAAUAUCCACGCUUUCUCCUCCUCCUCCAUUGUCCAGUCCUUUCGAUAAGUGCUAUGGAGCACUCUAAUAGCCGCAUGACACGAUUCUUGAGAACCAGAUUCUAAAAAAGAGUUGUGAAGUAGUUGAUCAUGCUAAGAGAUUGAAGGAGGAUUCAAUGCUUUUGCUGAGAGUGUUAUCAUACUGGUCAUUUGGAUUCUUUAUGGUUUAUGAACUAAGUGCUGGUUGCAUUACCUGAGAUUAGAAUCUUCCUGGUUGGUGUUUGCGAGAUGAUGAGCUCUGGGAAUCUGGGAAAAUAAAAUCAAACUCAGGGGAGAAAGAAUUGGUUCUGCUAUCGGUAGUGACAGUUCCCACUCAAGACCUACCAACCAAUCCUCAGAUACUUGACUAAGUAGAUGAUCUUACACAACUAAGUUAUUUGAACGAGCCUUCAGUUCUUCACAAUCUUCAGACUAGAUAUUUACAAGAUAAUUUAUAUAGAAUGGCAGGCCCUGUACUUUUGUCAAUCAAUCCAUUUAACAAUGUCUAGCUAUAUGGGGAUGAUAAAGAAAGAAACUUUUGGACACUCCUCAUGCUUAUGCUGUUGCUGAUGCAGCAUGCAAUGCAAUGAUAGCAGAUGAAGAAGUUGACUAAUAAGAAAGAAGGAGGUGCAAAAAAAAAAAGAAAAGAAAAAAAGAAAAGAGAAAAAAAGAAAAAAAGAAAGAAAGGUGCAAAAAAAAAGAGAAGAAAAAAAAAGAAAGAAGACGAAAGCAAAAAAAAGAAGAUAAAACGCUGUUGGAGGAGAUUAAAUCAGCAACCUCAAGAUCUGUUACAAGGGAGAAAAGGAGUUGAAAUAGGAGAGGAAUGAGGCUGACAUAGGAGGGGGAACAAAAUUAGGAAGUUGCCUGAUUAUACUGAAGGAGAUGCAAAAAAAAAAGAAAAAAAGAAAGAAGGUGAAGCAAGCAAAGAAAGAUGAUAAAGAGCUGUUGGUGGAGAUGAAAUCAGCAACUUGAAGAACCCUUACAAGGGAGAAAAUGAGUUUAUGUAGGAGAGGGUUGAGGCUGAGCAGCAUGCAAGGGAAGAAGAGACAACUGCCCAAUCUAGGACAUGCCCAGAUCCCAUGACGUGCAGAAGCUUACCAAAACAAGAGAAUAAAAGGCAUGGGUUAUGGCUCAUCAGCUAUUACUUAUGACAACAUCAUGGUCCUGUACAGGAAAGCAGGUUAAUUCGAGAAAAUCCCUGAGACUCUCAUUGUAGAAAAAUGGUGUAGCCGAAAAUAGAUGAAAUGAUGAGAAAUUUCUCCGGUUAAGCUUGGACAGCUCGAAGAAGCCAAGGCUGUGCAAGAUGACUAGACUUCUACUUACCACACAUACGACGUCAGAGUGCGGAACAUACUCCUGAUUGGCAACAAUCCGAAGGGUCUCCCCGAUAAAUCCGAUGCACUGCUUUGGGAUUUAAUAAAAAGGGAAGAAAUACCGACCUCCCUUCAGAAGGGCCGUCGAAUAUCCACGCUUUCUUCUACUCCUCCGAUGUCCAGUCCUUUCGAUAAGUGCUUAUGGAGCACUCUAAUAGCCGCAUGACACGAUUCAUGAAAACCAGAUUCUAAAAAAGAGUUGUGAAGCAGUUGAUCAUGCUACGAGAUUGAAGGAGGAUUCAAUGCUUUUGCUGAGAGUGUUAUCAUACUGGUCAUUUGGAUUCUUUAUGGUUUAUGAACUAGGUGCUGGUUGCAUUACCUGAGAUUAGAAUCUUCCUGGUUGGUGUUUGCGAGAUGAUGAGCUCUGGGAAUCUGGGAAAAUAAAAUCAAACUCAGGGGAGAAAGAAUUGGUUCUGCUAUCGGUAGUGACAGUUCCCACUCAAGACCUACCAACCAAUCCUCAGAUACUUGACUAAGUAGAUGAUCUUACACAACUAAGUUAUUUGAACGAGCCUUCAGUUCUUCACAAUCUUCAGACUAGAUAUUUACAAGAUAAUUUCUAUAGAAUGGCAGGCCCUGUACUUUUGUCAAUCAAUCCAUUUAACAAUGUCUAGCUAUAUGGGGAUGAUAAAGAAAGAAACUUUUGGACACUCCUCAUGCUUAUGCUGUUGCUGAUGCAGCAUGCAAUGCAAUGAUAGCAGAUGAAGAAGUUGACUAAUAAGAAAGAAGGAGGUGCAAAAAAAAAGAAAAGAAAAAAGAAAAGAAAAAAAGAAAAGAAAAAUAGAAAGAAGGUGCAAAAAAAAGAGAAGAAAAAAAAAGAAAGGAGAUGAAAGCAAAAAAAAGAAGAUAAAGCGCUGUUGGAGGAGAUUAAAUUAGCAACCACAAGAUCUGUUACAAGGGAGAAAAGGAGUUGAAAUAGGAGUGGAAUGAGGCUGACAUAGGAGGGGGAACAAAAUUAGGAAGUUGCCUGAUUAUACUGAAGGAGAUGCAAAAAAAAAGAAAAAAAGAAAGAAGGUGAAGCAAGCAAAGAAAGAUGAUAAAGAGCUGUUGGUGGAGAUGAAAUCAGCAACUUCAAGAACCCUUACAAGGGAGAAAAUGAGUUUAUGUAGGAGAAGGCUGAGGCUGAGCAGCAUGCAAGGGAAGAAGAGACAACUGCCCAAUCUAGGACAUGCCCCAGAUCCCAUGACGUGCAGAAGCUUACCAAAACAAGAGAAUAAAAGGCAUGGGAUAUGGCUCAUCAGCUAUUACUUAUGACAACAUCAUGGUCCUGUACAGGAAAGCAGGUCAAUUCGAGAAAAUCCCUGAGACUCUCAUUGUAGAAGAAUGGUGUCGACGAAAAUAGAUGAAAUGAUGAGAAAUUUCUCUGGUUAAGCUUGGAGAGAUCGAAGAAGCCAAGGCUGUGCUAGAUGACUAGACUUCUACUUGCCACACAUACGACAUCAGAGUGCCGAACAUUCCUGAUUGGCUACUAUCAGAAGGGUCUCUCCGAUAAAUCUGAUGCAUUGCUUUGGGAUAUUAUAAAUAGGGAAGAAAUACCAACUUCCCUUCAGAAGGGCCGUCGACUAUCCACGCUUUCUUCUCCUCCUCCGAUGUCCAGUCCUUUCGAUAAGUGCUUAUGGAGCACUCUAAUAGCCGCAUGACACGAUUCUUGAGAACCAGAUGCUAAAAAAGAGUUGUGAUUCAGUUGCUCAUGCUAAGAGAUUGAAGGAGGAUUCAAUGCUUUUGCUGAGAGUGUUAUCAUACUGGUUAUUUGGAUUCUUUAUGGUUUAUGAACUCGGUGCUGGUUGCAUUACCUGAGAUUAGAAUCUUCCAGGUUGGUGUUUGCGUGAUGAUGAGCUCUGGGAAUCUGGGAAAAUAAAAUCAAACUCUGGGGAGAAAGAAUUGGUUCUGCUAUCGGUAGUGACAGUUCCCACUCAAGACCUACCAACCAAUCCUCAGAUACUUGACUAAGUAGAUGAUCACACAACUAAGUUAUUUGAACGAGCCUUCAGUUCUUCACAUUCUUCAGACUAGAUAUUUACAAGAUAAUUUAUAUAGAAUGGCAGGCCCUGUACUUUUGUCAAUCAAUCAAUUUAACAAUGUCUAGCUAUAUGGGGAUGAUAAAGAUAGAAACUUUUGGACACUCCUCAUGCUUAUGCUGUUGCUGAUGCAGUAUGCAAUGCAAUGAUAGCAGAUGAAGAAGUUGACUAAUAAGAAAGAAGGAGGUGCAAAAAAAAAGAAAAGAAAAAAAGAAAAGAGAAAAAGAAAAGAGAAAAAAAGAAAAAAAGAAAGAAAGAAGGUGCAAAAAAAGAGAGAAGAAAAAAAGAAAGAAGACGAAAGCAAAAAAAAGAAGAUAAAACGCUGUUGGAGGAGAUUAAAUCAGCAACCUCAAGAUCUGUUACAAGGGAGAAAAGGAGUUGAAAUAAGAGAGGAAUGAGGCUUGCAUAGGAGGGGGAACAAAAUUAGGAAGUUGCCUGAUUAUACCGAAGGAGAUGCAAAAAAAAAGAAAAAAAGAAAGAAGGUGAAGCAAGCAAAGAAAUAUGAUAAAGAGCUGUUGGUGGAAAUGAAAUCAGCAACUUCAAGAACCCUUACAAGGGAGAAAAUGAGUUUAUGUAGGAGAGGGUUGAGGCUGAGCAGCAUGCAAGGGAAGAAGAGACAACUGCCCAAUCUAGGACAUGCCCAGAUCCCAUGACGUGCAGAAGCUUACCAAAACAAGAGAAUAAAAGGCAUGGGUUAUGGCUCAUCAGCUAUUACUUAUGACAACAUCAUGGUCCUGUACAGGAAAGCAGAAAUUUCUCCGGUUAAGCUUGGACAGCUCGAAGAAGCCAAGGCUGUGCUAGAUGACUAGACUUCUACUUGCCACACAUACGACGUCAGAGUGCGGAACAUACUCCUGAUUGGCUACAAUCCGAAGGGUCUCCCCGAUAAAUCCGAUGCACUGCUUUGGGAUUUAAUAAAAAGGGAAGAAAUACCGACCUCCCUUCAGAAUGGCCGUCGAAUAUCCACGCUUUCUCCUCCUCCUCCAUUGUCCAGUCCUUUCGAUAAGUGCUAUGGAGCACUCUAAUAGCCGCAUGACACGAUUCUUGAGAACCAGAUUCUAAAAAAGAGUUGUGAAGUAGUUGAUCAUGCUAAGAGAUUGAAGGAGGAUUCAAUGCUUUUGCUGAGAGUGUUAUCAUACUGGUCAUUUGGAUUCUUUAUGGUUUAUGAACUAAGUGCUGGUUGCAUUACCUGAGAUUAGAAUCUUCCUGGUUGGUGUUUGCGAGAUGAUGAGCUCUGGGAAUCUGGGAAAAUAAAAUCAAACUCAGGGGAGAAAGAAUUGGUUCUGCUAUCGGUAGUGACAGUUCCCACUCAAGACCUACCAACCAAUCCUCAGAUACUUGACUAAGUAGAUGAUCUUACACAACUAAGUUAUUUGAACGAGCCUUCAGUUCUUCACAAUCUUCAGACUAGAUAUUUACAAGAUAAUUUAUAUAGAAUGGCAGGCCCUGUACUUUUGUCAAUCAAUCCAUUUAACAAUGUCUAGCUAUAUGGGGAUGAUAAAGAAAGAAACUUUUGGACACUCCUCAUGCUUAUGCUGUUGCUGAUGCAGCAUGCAAUGCAAUGAUAGCAGAUGAAGAAGUUGACUAAUAAGAAAGAAGGAGGUGCAAAAAAAAAAAAGAAAAGAAAAAAAGAAAAGAGAAAAAAAGAAAAAAGAAAGAAAGGUGCAAAAAAAAAGAGAAGAAAAAAAAAGAAAGAAGACGAAAGCAAAAAAAAGAAGAUAAAACGCUGUUGGAGGAGAUUAAAUCAGCAACCUCAAGAUCUGUUACAAGGGAGAAAAGGAGUUGAAAUAGGAGAGGAAUGAGGCUGACAUAGGAGGGGGAACAAAAUUAGGAAGUUGCCUGAUUAUACUGAAGGAGAUGCAAAAAAAAAAGAAAAAAAGAAAGAAGGUGAAGCAAGCAAAGAAA